UCUUAAUUUUUUAGCGCAAUUGCAAAGAUUGGCGCGUGAAUCGAUGAGAAUGGACUGUAAGCCAGUGGCGCUCAUUUCAUGCAAGUGGAGCACUGGCUAAUGCGGGUUUUUUACUCCUCCCAAAGAUCCCGCUAAUCCUGAUGCGCAAUCGAGUUCCCAAAAAUUACCAUUUUUUCCUUCUAUUCAGUCUCAAAUAAUCCAUUGGCACAAGAGCAUUCGAGUGAAUUCCAAAAUCAAUUUAUGUGAGAAAAUUAUUGUAAAUUAUUUAUUAAGUUAAAGAAAAUAAGUGGAAAGGAUUGUAAAAAUCAGUGAAUUUAUUUGGUGAACAUUAAAAAUUAUUGGUGGUGGAACAAAGUGUUUUUUCAUCAAAGUUUUUCGCCAACACGUGGGACCACGUGGAGUCUUUUAGAAGACACACAUUUUCUGGACAUCAGACGGAAAAUCUGCCCAUCGCGGGAAAAUUUCGUCCAUUCGACCGGAUGGUUCGGUGGACAGGCAGAUAUUAAUUUUCCGUAUUUUUCUACCGUUUUUCAGGUAAUUGGGAAACUAAAGCACAGUCCGUGCAAUCCAUUCUAAAGUGGAAUACUUAUACUUUUUCUACUACAUUUUCCCAAGGUAAUUCAGUGGACUCCUUUCUGAGACUUUUGGGGCAAUUUUUUUAUCGUUCAAUUAUUU